AACUCAACUCAACAAGGUCAGCCGCUACUCGUCUGCCACCGCCGUCGCUCUCUCGCUGUCCACUGUUCUUCAAUUUCAGAGUCGUACUGCUCCACCCUGAAUUCCUCCGCUGCUCUCUCAGUGCCGCUGCCGCCACUCAGCCACUUCCCCCGUCCACUGCUGGGAGAUUGCAGACUACUACUACCUUUGGCAAAAGGAAGGAAGAUGAAGACAAUUUAUGGAGAAUGUCAUUCAUUUAAAGAAGUACCACUUUCAAAAUCGAAAAAAAUUCUCUCGAAGUUUGCCUCGGCUGACAAUGGUGCUUCAGAAGUUGUCAGUGCAUAUCUUCACCGUGCUUCUUCAUCUUUCAUUGAGCUGGAGAAUCACCAUAAGGAGCUUAAGUCAAAGAAGAGGCGCAAAAGGCAAACAGAGAUGGUUGUAGAUGGUGGGAGAGUCAUUGGAUUUGGAAGACAGCCAUUUGGUAAUCAGAAAUCAGAAUGAUGAUGUGGAUGAUGAAAAAUCAACUCAGUUCUAUGAAAAAGUGAGUCAGAACAAUAUUGAGUGUGAAAAUAGACUAGUUGGUCCUCAGAACAUUAGAGUGAUCCUUAAUCUUGGUUGUUUUUAAAAUUCACUUACUAGAUUUUAAAGUUAAUUCUUUGUAUAAUUGAUGAGAAAUUUAUA